CUCUGUCACUGGCACAGCUGAUGCACAUUCCAUGAUUCACACCUGCAGUAUUUAUACUGCAGUUACAUACUCCUACGUGAUCCCGCUGUUACCUGCUUCCUACCUGCCGUGCUCUGCCGUGCUGCCUGCCUCACGCCACUCAGACACAACCACCUGCUUCUCCUGGAUUCUACUUGGAACUUCUUUGGAUCUGCCACUGCCUGGUUCCCUCAAGCUGCAGUCCAUUCCCAGAAGACUACAAGCUCAGCCUUGAUUGUUCAUCUCCUCUGAGUAUUUAUGCCUAAUAAAUACUUGAACUGUU